rnacentral:lncRNA from 1 species
UUUUUUUUUGUUUCCUGUAGAGAGACAAGGGGAGCAGAAGUAAGCGGGGAGAGGUCAGGAAUGGCGGCACUGGCUGCCUCUUGGCCUUGGGCCGGCCUCUUCUUCCUCCUCGCGCUUCUGGCGGUGGCGGGAGCCGACACCGACGCCGGCGACGGUAAUGCUCAGCGUUCUUGGUUUCCUGGAACGCGUCUGCUAAAUCGCUACGGAUCGUGUCUGAUCGGUGCUCUGGUUCUUUGCAGUCGCGGCGUUGGGGAACCUCUACAGCUCCUGGAACAGCCCGGCGCAGCUCACCGGCUGGUCCGCCGCCGGCGGCGACCCCUGCGGCGCCGCGUGGGCGGGCGUCACCUGCUCGGGCACCGCCGUCACCUCAAUGUAAAGAUACUCUCACUCACAUAAUCUCACAGACUCACUGAGUCUAAAAACUGUAUAGCAAUGAAAACGACUAAAUGUUCUGGCACAUUCGGAUUUGAUGAAAUCCGAGCUGUCGGUUUUUGGUCUUUUCUCUCCCCCAACUGCAAUUCCCAUCCGUGGAGGUUUUCAGAUAGUGAGUGCCUUGCAAUGGGCGCGGAAAGGCUCUGAUGAAUCUGAAUCUUUUCUUUUCUUUUCUCAUGCUUGCUGAAAAGUUCGUUACUGUUGCCUAGCAUUUAGAAGUAGCACAUCCACUGCUGCUGCUACUCUGCUUUUUUCCCAAAAAGAAGGGUUGCUGCUGCAGCUCAGCAGCUGUUAUGGCCAAACUAAUAUUAUAAGAGCAAUCAUCAUACUGAAUCGGUCCAUGGGAUAAUAUAGAUAUAGUGUACACUGCCUUUCCAUGUCGCUAUGAAGGCAGUCAUGAUUGUAGAAUGUGUAACCCUGCUCUGGUAAAAUAGUAAAUGUUGUCCAGCAUAACUUUGUAACUGAAAUUCAUAACCUUUUCACCACAAUUGCAUCUAAAAAGUUAUGAGAAAAAAGCACACUGAAUUGUUCUGUUUCUUUCGACGCUUUGCAGCAAGCUUUCUGGUAUGGAGCUGAAUGGUACUCUUGGUUACGAACUGUCCAGUCUACAGGCACUGAAAACAAUGUAUGAUCUAACACUCAAGAGUUGCGAUUACAACUCUUCAGCGUUUAGUGUCAUUUUCAUAAUUUAUGUCUUUCAUUUCUUAACUUGCAGGGAUUUAAGUAACAACUUCUUGCAUGAUUCAAUUCCUUACCAGUUGCCAUCAAACCUUACCUAUCUGUAAACUCUCUCAACCUGUACUUGUUGAUUCCUUCUUUUUGGUUCUAGCAAUUUGACUCAAAGUGAUUACAGGAAUUUGGCGAAAAAUAACCUUUCUGGUAAUCUUCCGUACUCCAUAUCCACCAUGGUUUCACUUGAGUACCUGUAAGUUGCUUCACGUUACAAAGAUGUAACUCGUUCUAUAAUGAUUUUUUUUAGCUGACACAAUCUAACUGCAAGAGAACCACUGCAUGCAGCAAUCUCAGCCACAACUCAUUAUUUCAGGAAAUUGGUGAACUGUUUGGAAGCCUCAAUUCACUUUCAGAACUGUAAGGUCUACUAAGCCAUUGAAAUUAUUAGUCAUGGACACCCUAUUUCAGUUAUUCAGUGUUGGAUGUCCUGUUCAUUAUCAAAUAGGUAUAGAUUUUAGCGCAAAUACAAUAUUCAAAUAUAGUUUUACCCACUGAUUAAAAUUGUAACAUAUUUGCAGAAUCAAAUAAAUACUGAUAUCAUUUUAAUAUGGCCAAUCUGACAAUCAUAGAGGCAUUCUUGGUCAAAUUUAAAGUAGUUUUAAUGCAUCGAUUCUGUAGGGUGACACUUUCGAGGGUUCUAGCAAUUGAUAUCCUUUCGCAAAUAAUUGAAAUGCAAUUUCGUAUUUUGACUGGAGUGAGUGAGGAGUAUCUACAAUAUACAGAGCUUUAAGAUAAUAUCUGACUCUUUAGCUUUUUAAGAAAUGCAUUCAGAAUCAUUUAAAUUGUCCAAAUGUGGAUGAUGAGCAUUUUGUUACUGUUAAUAUGCUCUUUCCCACAGUUUCAUGAAUUUAUCUUAUGAUAUUUAAUAUCCUUUCAGAGACAUAUCUUUCAACAACCUGACGGGGAGUCUUCCAAUUUCAAUGGGCUCUCUGUCAAAAGUUUCUAGCCUGUAAGUAUUCAGAUCUUCCAUCAUUUGUAUUUCAGUUUCAUGGUUCUGAACUUCUGAUAGUUAUGUUCUAACCUGCUAUGUAGUUACAUGCAAAAUAAUCAACUAUCAGGCACAGUUGAUGUCCUCAGCAACCUAAGCCUUGCGACACUGUAAGUGACUUCCCACAUAUCAAUAUGACUGCUAAUUUUCCCUUCACAGUAUUUUCUCUGAUAAAUUAUAAUGUAUUGUGAUAUACCUUCAAACAGAAAUAUUGCAAACAACAAUUUCAGCGGCACGAUACCACAAGAAUUGAGCUCGAUUCCAAAUUUGAUGUAUGCACCAAUAUGCUUUACUUCCCUUUCUUUAUGGAAAUCAUUUGUAAAUUGCAUGCUGAUGUUUAGUGCAACUGUACCAUAGAGUUGGAGGAAACUCAUUUGCCAAUAUGCCUGCCUCCCCACCGCCAACUCUCACGCCACCUCCAAAGAAUACACGUGAUCAGCCAAACCAUCCUCAAGGACCUAUAAGUGCUCCAAUUGUCCCUGAGACUCCUAUUGAUCAGGACGACAAGAAGCUGCAAACAGGUCCUCUUGUAGGGAUAGCUGUUGGCUCAAUAGCUGUUGGCUCAUGCGUACUUUUCGCGUUGGUAUUCUGCCUUCACAAGACCCGGAAAAGAAAUGAUGAUGCGAGCAGUGAACCAAAAGAUAUUUUAGGUUCCCUUGCAGUAAACAUAGAGAGAGGUAUGCUCCUAUUUCUUUGUGCAUUGUAGCGUUCUGUUAUCAUAUUAGCAUUCUUGUCAUUUAGUUGUUCAUAAUUCAUCGAUAAAAAUCAUGAGAUUGCUCUCUUAUUGCUGGUUAAUGAAUAGGAAAUGAUAAAAAAUCUACUUCUAGAAAAUGUGAAUCUGGCUGUCAUCAGGAUUUUUACUAAAACGUAAAAAUGUCCAGAUGAGGAAGGCCCGACUUAAAUUACUAAAUUAUCGCUACUCUGUAAUUCAUAUCUUCACACUCCUUAGUGUUUCUCUGUUGCAGCAUCUAAUAGGGAAACCCCGAUCCCGAAUAACAUCCAUGAAAAUGCUGUUGUAGCAACUUCAGAUCUCCAACCUAGUGGAAAAAUGACUCCAGAGAGAGUUUAUGGUACAAAUGGUUCUACUGCAAAGAAUGCAAAGGUCCCUGUGACGGCAACUUCAUAUACAGUUGCUGCUCUCCAAGUUGCUACGAACAGCUUUUGUCAAGACUCUCUCCUAGGCGAGGGUUCGCUUGGUCGUGUUUACAAGGCUGAUUUUCCCAAUGGGAAGGUAAUAGCAUAUUCGAAUAUUUGACUUAACUGAAAAUUGUAAGCUGUCAUUUGUUUUUUGGCAUCAUUGGUUACAUAUGGCCCAAUACAAAUCUGUUCACAGAGCAUUGCUGACAUAGCCAUGCAAUCCCCCUUUUUUAUGCUAUUUUUUUUAUUUCUUUUGUUUCAUCGUUACCCUGAAACUGAAUUGUGUUUUGUGAUAACAGGUACUUGCUGUCAAGAAGAUAGACAGCGCCUCACUGUCUCUGUACGAAGAAGAAAAUUUCCUUGAGGUUAUCUCGAACAUUUCCCGGCUGAGACAUCCAAACAUUGUGCCUCUUACAGGCUACUGUACUGAACAUGGGCAAAGGCUUCUCGUGUACGAGUACAUUGGAAACGGAACGCUGCACGAUAUACUGCACUUCUCUGAUGGAAUGAGCAAGAAACUCACAUGGAACACCCGUGUGAGGAUAGCACUGGGCACCGCCCGCGCUCUAGAGUAUGUUUGUUCUUAGCAAUCUAACAUUUUCAUUCCAUGAGAACCCCAUGUUGUUCUGGUAAUCUGUUACAUAUCAUACCACCAUGUACUGACAUCAAAUUCUCUAGGUACCUGCAUGAGGUGUGCAUGCCCCCUGUCGUCCAUAGGAGCUUCAAGUCGUCCAACAUCCUGCUUGAUGAGGAGUACAGUCCACAUCUCUCUGACUGUGGCCUUGCUGCUCUGUCACCAAAUCCUGAGAGAGAGGUAACAAGCGACGUAGCGGCAAAGUCCGUCAACGCUAAUUACUUCCUAAACGUGAUCUUUAACUUUUACUAGCUGCUAGUAUACUUGGUCUAAAGAAAGCUCUGCAAUGCUAAACACGCCAGGUUUCAGCUGAGGUGGUUGGGUCUUUCGGAUACAGCGCCCCCGAGUUCGCCAUGUCAGGAACAUACACCACCAAGAGCGACGUGUACAGUUUCGGAGUGGUGAUGUUGGAGCUGCUGACAGGCCGUAAGCCUCUGGAUAGGUAAUGUGCUCGCCAUUUCUGACCUGGUAAAUUUGAAAUCAAGAUGACAAUUCAACUUGUUCUUGUUUUGAUUUGGGGUAACUGUGUUUUGCAGCUCCAGGGAGAGGUCAGAGCAGUCCCUAGUGAGAUGGGCGACCCCGCAGCUCCACGACAUCGACCUGCUUGCCAAGAUGGUGGAUCCUGCCAUGGACGGGCUGUACCCUGCAAAAUCCCUCUCCCGCUUCGCCGACAUCAUCGCGAUCUGCGUCCAGGUACAUUCUUUACUUGUUUUUCUCUGCAUAUCUCGCCGUUAUCUGCAUUGGUUAGGUAUGAACAAGAACAACCAAAGUUAGCAUUUAGCAACCACCCCGUCCAGUCAUCCAGCAAGUCAGUCAUAAAAUAGGCUAAAACGCCUGCCAAUACGAGCCAAAUCACUCCCUUUGGAGGUAGACUAAGAUCACCAAUGCCAUGUCUGCAGUCGGAGCCGGAGUUCCGGCCGCCGAUGUCCGAGGUGGUGCAGCAGCUGGUGCGGCUGAUGCAGAGGGCUAGCAUCAUCCGGCGGCAGUCCGAUGAUCUGGGGUACUCGUACAGGGUGCCCGAAGGCGGCACGGGCGACGCCAUCUGAGGGACAGAGAUCAAAAGCUCUUUUUUCAGAUGGUGUACCGUGCUCGGAAGAAAGAAAGGCAAAUUGUUGCCGAGGCAGAGCCCCAUCCAUCAGCAUUCAGCAAGAAGCCAAGAACAGGGUCGAUCUGGCCACGUUUGGCCUUUGGGUGCUGGAUUAUUCAUCAAAUUUUUAUUUUUCUCGUGUCCUCUACAGACUACAGUUGUGCUGUGUUAUUGAGAUGUACAGUACAGGAAGAGUCUGUCUGUCUAUUGGGAGUGGGACAUGUAUCUAUAGUGUGCGUUCGGGCAAUUGGUAGAUAAGAUAUACUAGUGUGUGUAGAAAGGAAAAGAAGUGGAAUUUGCUGUGGUAGACGACUGUUGGUGCUUGGACCUCUUUAACUGGCUGAUGCUGUCACCUCUCCGGUGCAGACGGCGACCUGAGACGCGCUGCGUGGUUGCAUUGCUUGCCGGCGAGGCAAGCUUCUCUCAUUCGCGGCGGUGCGGCGAUUCCGGCUGCGCUGUUGCCUGGAGCACUUGGGUCCAGUGGACGACGCCGACUCGAUGUCAAACGCGAGAUAAGAUAGGAUCCGCUCGAUGCCGAUGGUAUUGGGAUAUUGGUUGGGGUCGUUGUCAUCAUCACCUCAUCAUCUUCAUCAUCAUUCAUUUAUUCGUCUCCGCUGCCCACAUAAGUACGGCAGAGAGGAGAAAGAUACGAGUACCUUUACUGACAACUAUAUGGACCACCCUCGUAAUGUUGAGCCAGGCCGUAUAGGUUCAUGAAGACCACUUUUUCUCUCUAUCGUGGCUUACCCGAGAGAUGGACACGAAGAGGUGGAGGGGCAUUUUCCGUUUAUUGUUGGAAUAAUGGAACGUGAUGGGUUGGUAGGGGAGGAUUGGAGUGGCGCGUAACGACGGAUCAAAAGUCAGAUGGUCACGUCCGGACCGGACAGGCGAGAGUGAGAGGUUCGACGUCCCGUCAGCCAAGCUUGCACACACACGAAAAAGCCUACUAUGCUCGGAAGAGCGUAGGGUAGCCAUUCCUUUUUCCUUUCCCACCGCUGGGUACACCUACACGCGUAGGGUGGCGCCGCCGCCGCGGCGUGCGGACGGGCGAAUGAACGGCGGCCACGCAAGCGAAGCACGGCCACCGAGCCGCCGUCGCUUUCCCGUCCCACCCGGUCCCGGCCAGCAGCGUCGCCGGCGCGGCGCCACCCGCCCACCCCCGACUCACCGCCGCACCUGCCCAAACCGUUCCCACGCAGGCAGCCGCGCCGCGCCCCACGCGCCUGGCUCUCGGACGCUCCACCCGGGCCACACAGACACGAGUGACCACGCCGGGCCGUACACCAGCAGGCGUCGACUGGCUGGCUCGUAGCAAACCAACCAGCCAACCCAGCCGGCAGCCGCGCAAGUUGACGAGCCCCCACCCCCACUCUCCUCCUGGCCUCCACCGCGCCGCGCCACUGUGCCCGCGGCCGGCAGGGCGGCAGGUAUCUUCCCUUCCCUCCCUCGGGGUCGGGGCAGCUGCUGCCACCUGCUCCACGCCACCACCUCCUCGCGCAGGAUAAAGCGGGCCGGGGAUGCGCUGAGCCGGAUGGCCGCCCACUCGCUCUCGCUCUCGCUCUCCCUCCCCAUCACGCGCUCGCGUGCGCCCCUCGCGCUCCGCCGCCUCCUCCUCCUCCUCCUCAACCCGUGCCGCCUCGCCGCCGCCCCGCCACAGACCAACCGAGGCCUCUCCUCCGCCGCCGCCUCAUCCCGGGCGCGGGCCCUCGGCCUCGCCGGCUGCCCGCCUCGCCCCCGCGCCGCGCUCCUUGGCACCGGAGGUGCGUUCCUUUCCUUCUCGACCCGUCCACCCUGGCACGGCACCCACCUACCCAGCACCGCCGCGGCCCAUGCGGCCAUGCCCCGGCCGCCUGGUUGCCGUGGUGUUCAGUACCCGUACUCCGUAGGGAACGAAGGGGAGCCUGAUAGCCUCGGCGCUGGAUCGGUCAGCGUUUUCGACGCUUCGAAUCCGAACGAUCGCUUCGACGCAUGUUAGUUUUGACUUUUGGAUCAUCGACGCAUGUUAGUUUUGGUGCCUUAGUUUCUUCUUGUUUACCUGAUGUGAUUUGAUACCACGACGCGAAAUUUCCUCAGCUCGCACGGAGAUUGACAAAAUGGGAUGGGUGUACGGUACGGGUCCGUAGGCGUGGACCGCGCCACUCCCAUAUUCUGGGGUACGGGAAUUUUUACAUUUCUAGGAGAAGGGAACGAGAACGGGUGGAUGGGUGAGAAAAGGUGACCAUGAUGGACAGUGAAAGAGAGGGCAUGAUGACAAUUUAGUCGCCUUCGCCUUUCAUUUCAUCUUGUCAAUUCGCUUGGGCAUGGUACGGGGCGGGCUAAGGAGCCAAAAUCACCAAGACUGUUCACACCGUCCAUCUCGCCCAUCUGUGCUUGUGCUAAAAUCGCCCAGCUUUGUUUGUCAAUGCUAAAAUGCUGCAGUUCAUGAUUUUAUUUCAUCAACCUUUCGCAGGUGCAGGGAGAAGACGGAGAGGUGAGCUAGUCCGCAGAGCUAUGUCAGGUUCGACGAACUCAACUGUAGCGGCGGAGUUGACGGUGCCUGUCGAGCAGCUGCCUUUUGUGAAUGACAAGCAUGGGGGUGUUAUUAUUGAGAUGGUGGUGCCAAUGGAUCCUGGAGUGUUUUCAGCUUCACUGAAAGCAGCAUUGGCGAAAUGGAGGGAGCAGGUGACCCCCUCAACCUCUGUGUUCACCAUGUGUUCUUUCAUGCUGUGAUGGCUUGUUAAAAAUCCAUCAGCCUCCAUGUUGACAACGUAUGUGUCAAAUAAAUAUCGUAACAUUUAAAAUUUUGAACUGUUGAUGCUCUAUUGCAAAGAUCCAUGGUGGCAACUGUGUAUAGUAGGAUCAGGAAGUUAAAAAAAAUUUUGGUGCCGUGCAUAACGAUUAUGCUAAAGGUUAAGUACAGUGUAUAUUUUCUAUGAGGCUGAGGAGCCACAAACCAUAUCUAAGGCAUCUGACAUAGACAUGCUGACAUUACUGGACUUGCAGAUUAUCAACACCAGCCAAUUUUUUUUUAAAAAAAAUAGUUUUAGUUAUUCAUGGGUACCUUAAGGGGGAGAGAUGCAGCUACAAUGCAUAUCCUGCACUUGCUUGUCAUUGAAAUAGAAUUUCUUGUAAGGGCUUUACAUUUAUUAUCCCCAUGGUUGUAAUUUAUUUUGUACUUCUUUUAUUAUAGGGAAUAAGAGGUGUAUGGAUCAAACUGCCCAUCACCCUUUCCAACCUUAUUACACCAGCUGUGGAGGUAAUUAAACUCACAUUUUCAAUAUUUAUAGUUGUAUCACUUGAUGUAACUUGUACAUUCAAAAGUGAAGUAUUUUAAUACAAUAUUUGAGUCACCUUAAUUCAAUUGUUUUUUAUAGUAGCUGGUAACCGUCACAGUUUGAUAACUCUUUUUUCCCAUGACCUUUUAUCUUUUGAAGAGAAAUAGUUUGAGGGGAUCAUACUGUGUACUAUACUGAAACAGUAUGGAAGGAUUCAUUUUGAUUUUAUCUCUGAAAUGCUUUUACUUCAUUGUGUAUGUAGGAAGGUUUCUGGUACCAUCAUGCAGAGGAAACAUACUUGAUGCUUGCAUACUGGCUUCCUAAUACAACACAUACGCUACCAGUAAAUGCAACCCACCGUGUGGGUGUUGGAGCCUUUAUAAUGAAUGACAAAAGAGAGGUACAAAAUGAAUGUGAUAACUUUAAGGAUUUAGCUUCUUGUUGUUCUGUUACCUCCUUUACGGAUCCUAAAAAACAUUGUUAAUCAAUUACCUAUCAGUUACGACAACAGGAUAUUCUAUUAAGCAUCAUCCUUAGACAGUUUUCUAUCUUCCUUAUCCCUGAAAUUCUUACUUUUGCAGGUCUUGGUUGUACAAGAAAAGAGCGGUGUACUUCGAGGCCUUGGUGUAUGGAAAUUUCCAACUGGCGUAGUUGAACCGGUAAAAAUUCUGAUCUGAACAUGCAGAGAUAUUAUUCAUAGUACAUUCAUUACCAAGUUGUCCUAUUAUAAUUCACAAGAUAUUGGUAUAUACAGGGGGAAGAUAUAAAUGUCGGUGCUGUAAGAGAAGUAAAAGAAGAGACAGGGGUAUGUAUUAGUGUAAACUAAAGUUCAAGUUGUUUUUAGUAGACUUUGUCUUGUAAAAUGCUGCCAUGGUUGCUCAUACUCAUUUAUUUUUCCUCUCUGGAUCACAUCUCAGAUUGAUGCAGAAUUUGUUGAAGUGCUAGCUUUCAGGUAACGACUGUACUCCUGAUCCCAGUUCUUUCCUAUAUUUAUCUAGUACAGACUUACCAGGUAUCUUGUCACACUUAGCUUUAUUGUCCCAUACUCCCAUUUAUCCAAUAUAUAUACCAACACGAAGAAAGAGAAGUAUUGUUCAACAUACUUAUGUGCAGAUAUUUUUAGUUCCUAGCUGCUGCUGCUGCUGUGAUCCUAGAGAACCAAAAAAGAAAAAAUAGCUUGCAUUUCCAUUUGAUAUGAAAUUUACCUGAGUCUAUUUUCCUUUCUUUUCAUUCUGUUGAUGCAAUCUGGCGCGAUGGCUAAGUGUUUAGUUGAAAUAAAGCAUCUCUCUAUCAUUUGCAGGCAGAGCCACAAAUCCUUUUUUGAAAAAUCGGACCUAUUUUUUGUAUGCCUGCUACGACCACUUUCAUAUGACAUUACUAAGCAAGACUCGGAAAUAGAGGCAUGCCAGGUACUUGGAACCAAAAUUCCAACAUUGAAUUGUUAAUGGUUAUCUCAACAAAAAACAAAACCCCCACCUCUUAAAGGGUUUAUUUCAGUUCUUCUAGCAGCAUUUGACCAAAUGCUUUGUCCACACUCUACUUCUCAAUUGCAGUGGAUGCCAGUGGAGGAAUUUGCAGCACAACCAUUCGUCCAGAAACACGAACUCGUGAAGUACAUCCUCGAAGUCAGUUUGGCUAAAGUUGACAAGGAAUAUGCAGGGUUUUCGCCAAUCUCCAUAAAAUCAGCAUUCACAGACAAACUGUCCUUGUUUUACUUGAACCGGAGGGACCUUGACAGGGCCUCAGGAUCAAGCAAACAGUAAUGCACACUUUGGUCUGUGAAAAAAGGGUCUGAAUCAUUCAUACAGUACCUGAUUGUUUUGUUCACCAAUUGGUAGCUUGGGGCCUUGGGCAUUUGAUUUUGACCGAACGUUGUCUGCCGGACGUGUCUAUGAUUCAAAGGAGGUAUAGCAACGCAAACGUAUAGCUGAAACUGUUGCACUUAUGAAUUUGUAUUUGUAGGUUUACAGACAAUAAAAUGUUGGUUGGGCUUGACAGGAGACUUUUGUUGAAAUUAGAAAAUUUUAUACAGAAUUACUAACGUGUCACUUUUCUUGACUCCUGAUUCAUACAUAUGGUAUAUGUGUCAGUGUCAUGACUCAUGAAUCGAUCCACAGAUGAUUGAUGUGUCACAGGUUUAGAAAAGGAAAGGAGAAAAAACAGAAUGAGUGAAGAGAUUGAUUAUUGGACCGUUGUUUCCUGGCCUACUAGCCCACCUCCAAAAAUGACUCCACCAGCAGCCAUCAGGGCCCUCGGCUGCAGGCGCGCCGACCACCUCGCGCACACGGCCCCAUGUGCCGCCGGCCCCCGCGCUAGCCCCACUGCCGCCUCCUCGCUGGCUCGCUGGCCAGGCUGCUGCCACCGCGCGCGCCCCAUGCGCCGCCGCCGAAGAAGGGAAAAAAACAAUUAGAAAUGUUGAUUAUUGUCUGAGAAAAUGUGUAACCUAUUUUGUCAAGAUGUUGAACUGGACAAUAGAAAUGUUGAAUGCAAUAUUUUCUUGCAAAAUGUUGAUCUAUUUUUAGAAAAUAUUGAAUUUGGUAUUUUUGAUGUUGAUCUAGUUUCUAAAUAAUGUUGAACCUACUUUGUCGAAAUGUUGAGUUCAUCUUCUAAAUAUGUGUAAUGGGCUUUAAAAUUAUGUUGUUUAACUAGUCCAUAAGUUGUGUAGGAGCUCACCCCCAGCCUGGAAGCUAUUCAUCUUCUCCGCGAGAUUGCAACGAGUCAUCGCUGAGCACCGAUGCUGUAGUGAGCUGAGCCGGAGGCUGGAGCUAGGAGGGAGGGGGCUCCUCUACCCCGGUUGGUGGGGGUAGUGCCCCACCCUGCCAUAUGUGGAUCUUUCGUCUAUGUAAAUAUUGCGGUAUUAUACGAGAUUAAUAACUGUCGUUUGAGAGCUAUCCACAUAGACUUAAAAGCCGAGUAACAUAUUGCUAGAGGCAGAUUCUAAAAUAAUCAGACUUUUGGACUUGCGAGUGCUACCGAGGGUCACUCAAAUUAUGUACUCGAAAAUACAUGUACUUGUCGAGUGUUACCGAGUGUUAUAUGGCAAGUGUCUACAAAUUGCACCUUUAUGUACUCAAGUUAAUUCGAGAGAUAGAGCAUCAAUGUCCAAUGUGAUAAUUUGGCUCCAAGAAACAUCUGCAGCUACGAUGCCAGCUCCUUCGGAACCAAGGACAGAGGCAACCAAAGGCCAGCAGGAACCAGUGAGACAACCCGGGCCUACCGGGGGCUAUAACACCCCCCCCCCAAACAAAAAAAUUUUUCAAGGUUUACCAAUAUUGAUAUGAUACCUCAUUAGUAGUUCGUACUUAACUGCUAAGAGGUAUGAGUGGUGUUACUAAAUUUCAGAUUUUAUUUCCAAGUAGAAAACCGUAUUGAGGGACAAGGGUACCCACGGGUCCCCACCGACUAGGAUACUGGUCGGUUCUGACAGGUGGGCCCGUCCAACCAUGCCGUAAGGUCAAGGCAUGAAGAUACGUAGAGCAUAAGUUCGGAAGCCGGGCAAACAAAUUCUACUCGGAUAUCACGUGAUACUUGUUGUAAACCGAUUCAGAUUGCUUUCCAUGUAACAACCAACUAGGAUUAGAUCUUAUCCGAUUAUAACCCUAGGUCGUCAGCCUAUAUAAGGCGGCUAGGGACUCCCCCUGAGGGUACCGCAUGUUAACUCUUCGCACCUGUAAUCAGCAAUACAAUCCACAAGAAUACAGGACGUAGGUUAUUACUCUCCGGAGGUCCGAACUUCUAAACCUUAUGUCCUGUGUUACCAUUCGAGUUCUUGAUCUUACGAUCUCCCCUGGCUACAAAUCUACCACUUGGGUAACCCCUGGUGGAUUGUCAGUCACUAAAUCCGGCACGUAUGCUGUGUGUCUUCUAAAUUUUUGUUUGCUAAGUAUGCUAGUAUUCCAUCUUUACAUGACUAUGUGAUUUCAAUCUUAAAGAGGUGUUGGGUGGAACUAAAAUGAACAUCAAGCAUUUUAUUUUGUACUAGCAAUGCCCGUGCGUUGCUACGGUGAAAUCUACUAUAUUUUAAAAGCUUAUAAAGUUUUCAAUUUUUAUUAUACUCUAGAAAAUCAGUAGAAUUUUAACUUAACAUAUUUCCUUCUGCUCAAAUACUCAUUACAUUUCUACCUUUUUAUUUAAGAAAGAGACUUGCUAGUGACAAAAAUAGUUAUAAUCAUAUUAUACCAUAUAACACGACCACAUCUCUAAUUGUACCAUCUGGUUGGAAUGGGCGAGGACUAUGUUCACACAUGGUACAGUUUAUAAACAAGCACCGCUACUGCCUUAACAUGGUGGGUGCACAUAGUAGGCGUGGAUCCGUUUAUUCGUACAAGUAGCAAGUAGCGCACGACCAGUCUAGUGAAGUCUGCUGAGACAAGCCUGAUUUUGAGCCGUCUAACUCCUUCGACCCAUAACAGUGCACAACUUUUAGCCAUUGGAUGGAAUUAACGGCUGAGAUGAUCCGCUCAUCAAAUAAAUAUCCCGUCCGAUCGAAACCCUACACCCGCCGUCUCCUUCCAUCCGUCCGCCGCGCCCUGCACCUCCUCCUGCGCGCCGCAGCACCCUCUCCCGUACCUCAUCUCCCUCUCAGGAUGUUUGGAUACCUCAGACUAAACUUUAGUCCCUGUCAUAUCAGAUGUUUGCACACUAAUUAGAAGUAUUAAAUAUAGUAUGAUGAUAAAACUAACUGCAUAAAUGAUGGCUAAUUCACGAGACGAAUCUAUUAAGCCUAAUUAGUCCAUAAUUAGCUCAUGUGAUGCUACAGUAAACAUGUGCUAAUUAUAAAUUAAUUAGGCUUAAUAGAUUCGUCUCGCGAAUUAGCCCUCGUUCAUGCAAUUAGUUUUAUAAUUAGUUCACGUUUAGUCCUUCCAAUUAGUAUCAAACAUCCGAUGUGACCCGAACUAAAAAUUAGCCCCUCACUCUCCUGCUCCCGCUCCACACCCUCCUCCCCGCCCACCUCCGCUCCGAGAUCCACAUCCUCACGGCCGUGCAUCUCCACUCCUCGGCCUCCAUCCUCUACGCCCGCUCCCCGCCUCGUCCCCUUCCGUAUCCCUCCCUCCCUCCCUCGGCUCCUCCUCCCUCUCCCCCAGCCGAGGCAAGCGGCGGGCGCAGGCCGGGCGGCACGGCCGAGGCAGCUCGGGCGUGGCCCAGGCCGAGGCCGAGCGACGCGGCCGUGGCGGGUGGCGUAGGCGGCCGGGGCCGAGGCAGCGCGGCCGGGGCUUGUUCGGGGCGGCAUGGAAGCCCUGUGACAAGUGGCUUGUCGGGACGGACGAAAUUAUUUUAGCAAAAGCGUUAAUCCCUUUAAUAUUAGGUAAAUAUUAAUAUUAGGUAAAUAUCAGGUAAAGAUAAAGAUUUAUUACUUUUUUAAUUGUACUUUAUGCCUCAGUGAACGAUCUUACUUGGAAACGACAAGUUAUUCUAUGGCUAUAUAUGAUUAAUUUACUAUGCGAUUGAACUACUGAUUUGAACCGGGCCGUAUCCUCCCUCUCUCUCUCCUCUCUUCCGCACCAGGGCCCACCAGUUUAUAAAGGGCGAAAGGCCGCGACCAGGCCCGCGCGGAGCUGCCUACAAUUCAUUCUGCUGCCGAGGCAUACAACGCUUCAUCUCCGCAGCGCACAUCAGCCGUUCGACGGAAUGCCCCACUAGACCAGGACGCCCGACGCCAUGUCCUUCCUGGCGUUCGGUCGCGGCCGCCUCCUCCGUGAGCUCUCCAAUCGGCGCCCGCCGCCGCCUCAACGGCGAGGUGCUCCUCACUUCUCCCUCACCCGAACCGCCCAACGCCAACCCCGGCGACCGAGCCGAAACGGCUGCCGACUGCUAAUGUCUUUGUCGUUUUGUUUGCUGGAACCAGGAGUUCACGCCGCGUUCGUCCGGCGGUUCAGCGCGCAUCACUUCCCGCUCGAUGGAGUUGAGGACGCCGCGGAGCAAGCCGUCCAACCGCCACUGCCGUCGUCGCCGCCGGUUUCUCUGGCGAAGAGUCUGGCCUCUCUCGCCGAGGAGUCGGCCGAGGCCGUCCAGAGACAGAGGAAACCCCUCAUGCGGAUGGAGCGGAGGCGGCUGGCGGAGCUCCGCAUCAAGAAGAGGGUCAAGGCGCAGUACCUGAACGGCAGGUUCUACGACCUCAUGCGUAAGGUCGUGGCGACCGUCGAGACGCUGGAGGACGCGUACGACAUUAUCCGUCUCAAUUCGAACGUUGAUCUAGCGUCUGCGAAGGAUGAUGCCUGCUUCGUUACGCUGGCAGAGCAGCUGAGGAGUGGGGAGUUUGAUGUCAGAGCAAAUGCUUUCUCAGUGGUGGCGAAGAGACGGGGAGAAGGGUGCCUUGUUCUUCCUAGGCUGAACUUGAAAGUUGUUCAGGAAGCGAUAAGGGUGGUGUUGGAGGUUGUAUACAGGCCUCAAUUCUCAAAGAUAUCACAUGGUUGCCGCAGUGGGCGAGGGUAUCACUCAGCCCUCAGGUUCAUAUCAGAUGAAAUUGGGAUUCCAGAUUGGUGCUUUACUGUCCCAUUGCACAAAGAGGUUGAUAGCAAUGUAAACUCUAAGCUUAUUUCUCUGAUACAGGAGAAGAUUGAGGACACCCAGUUAAUUGCAUUCAUGCAAAAUAUGUUUGAUGCCAAGGUGAUCAAUUUGGUAUUUGGUGGGUACCCAAAGGGCCAUGGGCUGCCCCAAGAAGGCGUACUUGCACCAAUCCUGAUGAACAUAUAUCUUGACAGUUUUGACCAUGAGGUGUUCAGGAUUUGCUUGAAACAUGAAGGCCUUGGUUCAGAGGCAACAAACGUUUCAGAAGACCAUGGGUCAAAUUUGCGUCGCUGGUUUCGGAGCCAACUGAAGGGGAGAGAUGAAAAUAGUGAAGAACAAACAGAUUGUCAGACAAAGAUAAAGCUAUAUGCUUGUAGAUAUAUGGAUGAGAUUUUUGUUGCAGUUUCUGGAUCCAGAGAUGUUGCAGAAGAUUUGAAAUCUGAAAUUGUUGCUUACUUAAGCAAAUCACUUUACUUGGAAGUUGAUAAUAGGUUGCGUCUGAUGCCAGUCAAAAGGAAUUUGCGGGGAUUACAGUUUUGCGGUGUUGUGGUCAGAGCCGAAACAAAGGAAAACGCCAAACUGAAAGCUGUGCAUAAACUGAAGGAGAAGAUUGGUUUGUUUGCUUCUCAGAAGCAAGAGAUUUGGGACGCUAUGAAUCUUAGAGUAGGAAAGAAGUGGUUGGCAUAUGGUUUGAGAAGAAUAAAAGAGAGUGAGAUCAAGCCACUUGGCCUUAGCACCCCAUUACUCGAUCACAUUGCACAAUAUAGGAAAGACGGCAUGAAGACAGAUCACUGGUUCAAAACUUUAUUAAAGGUAUGGAUGCAGGAUGUCAAUGCCAAGAAAGAGCUAAAUGAGGAUGUUCUCCUAUCUAAAUACAUUGCUGAACCAGCACUUGCACAAGACCUUAGGUAUGCAUUCUACAACUUUCAGAAGCAAGCUAAAGAUUACAUCUCAUCAGAAACUGCUGCUACUGAGGCAUUGUUGUCCAGUUUAAAGAGCGAGGAAUCAAUUAGUACCUGCACUGAUGGUGGUAUCAUUAAAAUUCAUGCUCCUCUUAGCUAUAUUCAGAAGUGCCUUCAUCGCUAUGGUCUAAUUAAUCUCAAAGGUUUCCCUAGGCAUGUUUCAGCCCUUGUCUUGCAAGAUGAUGAGUUAAUAGUAAGUUGGUUUGCAGGAAUAAUUCAUCGUUGGAUAAGAUGGUUUUCUGAGGUUGACAAUUAUAAAGAACUUCAGCUUAUGUUUGUUGAAUGUGUCAGAAAAUCCUGCAUCAGGACAUUAUCUGCAAAGUAUCGGAUGUAUGAAAAAUUGACCGAAAAGCGGUUUGAACUUGAUGAUCAUGGCAUUCCAAGGGUUGAGGAUUUUGAGGCAAUAAUUAAACCUUUAGAAUCUAGUUAUUCUUUGGCUUCCACUGAUGAAGCUUUGAUGUAUGGCAUUUCUAGUAGUGGUUUAUUUGUGCUAACACUGUCAAGGGUUAGAGUCCCUACUCGACAAUUCAACUGCUUUGUCAUGGGCUGCCAAUCUGCAUCACCAAGUAUGUAUGUGCUUCAUGUGAAGGAGAAACAACAUUUUCCUGGAUGGAGGACAGGUUUCUCGUCAUCAAUUCAUGGGAGUUUGGAUGGUAAACGAAUUGGAUUGUGCACCCAGCAUGUUAAAGAUCUAUAUCUGGGACACAUCUCCCUUCAAUCAGUUGAUUUUGGUUCCCUGCUCAGAUGACUUGAAGAUGAUACCUGUGGUUUUCUAAUAGUCAGGGGCUUUCUACUGACUCACAGAGCAGUAGGUUCAGUGCUUGUAAACCAAUACAUGGUUGUUGCUAAUCGUAGUAUCAUUUGGUGAGAGAUAACUUACCUGGUAUGCUUGUGGACUACUUCAAAUUGAAAAUGAGCCUACAAUUUGAAGCGGCUCCUUUUCGGUGAGUGGUUCAGACUUACAGAAUUCAGUUUUAGUUGGUAAUUCUUCAACUUUAUAAAAUGCGCGUAGCACUAGGCGAACCGUGGGGUGGCGCCUAAGCACUGCAUAGCUAGGCUAGAUGGUGAUUAGGUGGUAGGCAUUGCUAGAUAAGCUAGAUGGCUGCUAAACUUUACUCUAAUCAUAGCAUUUCUAAAAUUUGUGCAAAUUUGUUGCACUUAUUUUAGACAAAAUAAUUUGUUAGUUUUAAAUCUCUUUUCUCUCAAAGAAAAUAGAAACGGCUCUAGUGCAUUCAUGUGUGGCGGAACGUAAAAUUGCUUUGAGCGCUUCUGGUGCUUUCUGGUUGUUGUGAUGGGCACUUUGUAUGUCAAACUUUUACCAUCUCUUAUCAUACCACCAGGAAACCAAUCAAUUUAUGGACAAUUACUUUUGAGAAAGUUCUGCUGCUCUCCGGUAUAUACAUAUGUGACUGCUAAAACUCAAGUUUGUUUGACAGACUUGCAUUGGAUUCCCUGCUGGAUUGGCUCACUGAUUGUAACUUGUAUUCAGAGUUGUUUUGCGAUAAGCUCCUAACUGAAUCAGGCAGCAAACUGUGUAAUGAUGGACAAUAGAACUGAUGUAAAACGUGGAUUGGUUUGAUCUGAUCCAAUGAGAACCUGAUUUGGAGAAGUGCACAAUGCACUCAGGUUCACAAGAUGCGGUUGCAAACACAUGUUGCAUACUUGCAUUUCCGGUCGGCAAUAUACUUGGCAAAGGUAGCUUUCUUCUGAAUCAUUGUUUUCUUCAUGCAUGCUUCUUUAUUUAGCCUGUCCUCUAAAUCAUGAGUUAGUUACUUCUUAUACUAUAUAUGUCACGUGUGAUCUCUUCAUAAGAUGGUUACUUCGUGGGCGUGACUAUGCCAUUUUAUCUCUGAAUGUUGUCUUUCAAGAGGGCACACUGGAUUUUUUAUAUAAAAAAGUGAAAAGACACACCGUGGAUUAGCAUGAAUGGGGGCAUAUUAUUCCUUACAACACAAUAGAAAGGGAAACAGCAGUAGACCAUACUGGAUCACCACCAGAGCAUUAAUAACUUAGGUUAAAAGACUAGGAUUUGGCAUAAGUGCCUUGCCCUUUCUUAAUUAUAAACAGGUCUCCUCUUAUGGGGAGAGGCAUGGUAAUCCUUGUUAAGAAAUUUCAGAACUUCAUCACUGGCCUCUAGCAUUUUCUCUUUUGAAUCCUCAUUAAUUCUAUAUAAUGUGCUGCGAACGAUGGAAUCCUUCAGCUCUUGUUUGGACCCUGCCUUUGAGUUCCUGGAAGAAUGCUUGGAAUGCAAUGUUCUGAUAUGUUGAGUAUUUGGAAUGUUGAGUGCUAUCACUGAUGUGCUUCCUUCUAGUUUUACUCUUUUCGUGGAUGAUCCUGCCUGAAUCCUGGAGCUACUACUAUCCUGAGAUAUUUUACUAGGAAAUUAGUAUCGGACCAUAAUCCACUAAUCAAGGAAAAACAGGGAAAAUAAAAUCUGGAUGGAUUGUCAUUGCCAUGAUGGCUCUCUGGGACAGAUUGUCUAUAUUUGGACAGUGGUUCCUAGAAAAUAUCUUUCUGCUAUAAAGCUGUAUUCAUGAAUUUCAAAGUUGAGAUUAUGAUGUAAUACCUCAAAAUUACUUUGGUAUUUUACUAUCUGACAAUAUUGUGUAGAGUUUUGUUCUAUCUGACAUGUUCAUGCUCAUGUCCAUAUAUUGCUGGAAAGAAUACUCCGAUACCAGCAAAUGUGGAAGUAUGAAAUUGCAUUUUUGUUUAAAUUUCAUGUAACUACUAUAAAAUAUAAAUUUAUGCUAGCUUUUGACCAAGAAAACAUGUAUAUAUAGGAUGUUGGGAAGGAGGAAGAAAUCACCUUAAGGUUUGAAGGCGCACUUGAAUUAGUUGAGUAAUUCUUAAUUUCUCCUGCAUUAAGAAUGUAACAAUAUUCAAACUGAACAGAAAAUGUUGAUGUAGGAUUUCCUUGUUUUAUUUGUUUAUUUGGUAUAGAAAUAUUAUUUCUUUGCAAAGCUUGUAACAGCUAGAAAAUUGAAAAUUACUAGUAUAUCUUGAAUAAAAUGGUGCAUAAAUGCUGACCUUUUCCCAAAAGGAGCAUAAACUUCAUUAUCAUGACAUAAGGAAAAAGACAACAAAUUAUUGUUUUAUCAUAACUAAACACGUGUAUCUAACAAGGAAAGCCAUAUUUGACAUAUAUGAUGGCAAACCAGAAGAGAAAUGAAAAAAAAGCUAGUUAUAGUUACUUGGCUGUACCCUAUCUACUUCUAGUUGUUCUUGGGAGGGUGUUUCCGGGGUGAACGGUAAUCAGCAGUGAAGGGAAUGUGUCCAUCAAAGUAAACCUUUGGUGGAGGUUUUCUACUUGUAAAAUAACAGUUCACACUCAAAUCCUUCCCUCCUCCGUGCCCGCAUUUUCCAACAGAAUGUUUUGCACCUGAGCUUGUUUUGCUUCCAGAAUUCUGUGCAUCCUUCUGCUUCAGGCUGUGUCUCCAAAAGCCAGCUUUCGUCCUGUCAAUACAUUGCUUCUAACUUCCUCGUGUGUGCUGGUUUUGUCGACACUAAGUUCCUGGAUUUGACACAUCAUUAGUUACUGUAUUCAGGGAUGAGUCCUGGCUAGAGGCUACAAGAUUCUAUAACUUCACAGUGCUUACGAUUCUUACCAGCUUGAUUUCUGCUCCGCUCUUGCUGCCAGUUACCAUCAGCAAUUCUGAGAACAGGCAGUAGGUGUGUCAGUUUGUCAAACAUCUGUACUUACACCGAGAAUGGAAUGAGCUGGGAGGAAAAAACUUGGCUCGAGUAAGCAAACACAAAAAGGAGAAGUGUUGAUAUCUACCUCUAUGUGCAAUGGUGACGAAGGGGCCGAGGGUGGCCGAGAGGAUGGCCAGCCCGAGCAAGAAGCUUAUACAGUUUAACGGCUGCAUAACUAACUGUCUAGCCCUGCUUUUAGGUAUGUCUGUCUUGUAACUAAGAGAAAGGGAAGGAGAAAAGGAAGGUUAGAUUUAUAGGGUUGCAGAGACAUGAGCCCUCCAUUGGUCAAAGUAGAGUUGCAAUAUCUCCUGUCCAUAGAAUGCUGCACCUGUACUUUUCAUCCAUACAAUAAUCUGUGGCCUCAGCAUUUUCUUAUUGGCUUGAGUAUAUUCAUGAGCUUGGAACUACUCAAAGUUUGUCCAUUGCCAUUUGCCAAGCAGCAGUUUCCAAGGAUCUAAUGCAUUGUAAAAGUGCUCCAAGGAUCGGCAAAUUGCUUGGGAUAGAAGAUUUGGAGUGCCUUGGGCCCUCUGCCCGCAGUGCUGCUGCCAAUGCAUGCAGUGAGGAAGAAGAGGCAAAAAUUAGUGGCCAACUAGAAAGUUUUCCGGUGACCAAGGCCGGAACCUAGAGUUUCACCUCCCUUUGAUCUUAAGUAAUGCUCUUGGUGCCCCCAUAUGUACCUUAAACCGUAUUGAUUCAUCAGACUCCUAGGUGGUAGCCUAAAAUUUAACUGGUGGUAAAUUGGUGGGCGUGAACCAGACGCCCUCGGCAUGCAAGGGCACGCCUUGUGUUCGACAAUGACCGCCACUGUCAGUAGGAUUGAAUUAGGGGGACUUUUUUGAAAAAUGAAUUAGGGGGACUUGGGAGAGUGAACGCAUGGAGAAUCAUCUUCAUUUUCAGCUGGUUGAAUUUGCUCCGCUUCUUAGAAGUUAGCACAUGACUUGAGCGUAAACUAACAAGACGGUUUUUCCUCUUUUCAGGUGUUGGCCAUGACAAGUGGCCGCGAAAAGCAUGAGCAGGAUGCCAGCUCGAGCUUCGGUUCCGCUGCUUGGCAGCUUGGGCGCAUGAGCUGGGGAACACAGGUCCUAGGCCUCUCUGCGCCUGGUGUGAAGAUUCAUACAAAUGGUACUGUACCUGAAAUGGUACUCUCUCAGACAGUCAACACGGUCUUCCGAGACUCAAGUCGUACCAGCUGCGUGGCCCAUGCCUCGGCUUUGCGGUUCGCCUGUUUCGCGCAUCUGAAGUGAAAUGAUUCAGAGCUGGCCAGGCCGAGGCCAUCCGAACUCGGAUGUUGGGCGAUUUGCUUGUCAUGCUGUGUUUGUGAUAGAAUCAUUGAACUGAAGAAAUCUCUGUUUUCCUUCUAGGCACUGUGAUGUGAAGAGCUCUAAGUUUGGGCCCUUCACGGAGAUACAUAAACUGUUGUAGAUUUGAAGUUUCCAGUAAUAGAAGUUUCUGAAUCAUUAGUAAGAAGGAUGGACGCAGAUUUGCUCUGCAGUCUGUUUGGAUCCGUGUGCCGGAGGUGAUGCUUGCGUACAAGAGCGACCCGGCAACUGCAUGAUGUAGCCAGAAAGCAGAACUCUUGCAAUACAAUACAAUGGAGACCAUCAUAUUUUCAUAUGCAAGGGCUGUACUCAGUAACUGUCUAACUGAACAUACACUGGUUGUUACUGAAUGCAUCAAACGAAGGCAUGGCAGUCUGACACACCCCGACGAAACUGUGAGAAAAAAAAAAUCGACAGAGUGAGAGAGCAACCGUCGCCAUCUCGCAGAGCGUCAACGGAGCAACGUGCCAUAGCGCCGCCAGCGUGAACAGCGUUUGGACGCGCCGGUGGUCGGCUACGGGGUCCGAUCCGGCUGGGCCCCAGCCGGAGUCCGGGCAGCUGUGAGGGAACCGAUGAAGAAGCAUCGGGUGGCGCAGCGGGCGAACGUGCGCCGGGGACCUCGGGCUCCGGCGGGCGCAUCAUCAUUUGCAUUCAUUUGCUUACUGGGGUGUGGGGAGGAGCACGAGGGCGUGCGAGGUCCGAUUCCCGUCUCCCCGCGCUCCGAUCGUGGCUCCAGCAGCCGGCGACACAUUUUCCUCCUCGCGGCAGCCGGCGGCUCGGAUCGAGGGUUGUACGAGUGACUUUCAAGUUUUUGUUGGGCACAGAUCCUAUUCCUAGUACAGCUUCCUACUAUCCAUCCCUACGUGUCCGUAUCACACUCACAAACAGAUUUUUUUUCUUCUUCCCCGAGCGAAAAACUGCAGCAGGUCAGGCGCUGUUCAGCCCAGUUGCAUUCGGCCUAUAAAGCUCGACCAUGACCAGCCCAAAUUAAGAGGCUGGGUAAGCUAGUUGGGCCGAAUGGAUGAGCAAACUGGCUAGGCGGGCAGGCAGGCAGCCCGUUGUUGGCCAUGGCGGCAGGCAGGCUGCCACCCCACGUGGGUCGCGGCCGUCCCAGGCUCCCAGUCCCACCGACACUAAUAUGGUUGAUAAACUUGCUAGAAACACAGCGGAUCCCUCGGAUCAGAUAAAAAACAGUGAUGAGAGUAAAGGUGGAAGGUAAUCUUUCAUUCAUGGUCAGUUUUCCAAGUCUUCACUACAUCAUACAUGUCAGCGUGAUCCCUGCGCAGCUUGCUUACCAUGGUACGGUAGUACAUGAUGCAAAGCAGUAACAGAAAACCACGCUCUUUCAGGUCAGGAUAGUGUAAUUGACCACGCAGGGAAAACAAAACUCCCAAUUGAAGUUCGAUAAAGUUCUAUGAACGCCGUUUCUGUUUAACAGAAAUAAAAAGUGCAAUAGUACAAAAUAUUUACAGUUACGCAAAAGGAGUGCCCCCCAUGGCCUUGGGCUUUUCUUCGAACUUUUUCACCAUCAGUUAGGAAGUGAAUGGCUUCCAAAAACCUUUCAAGAAACAAUUCAGGGAAAACAAAAAAAGAAUACAAACCCUCAUUCAAACCAAUAUGCCUUUUCCAGUCACGCUAAAGACACCAAGUGAAUAAAAGUAUACAAAAUGUAAUACAUACAGAUGACUACCAGGUACUAACCUUCCCUUACUUUCAGCUCCCAGAAGCUGCAGUGAAACAGUCAAUAUUGCACAAUUUGACUGAUCUCAUCAUCCCUCCAAAUCUGCCACAUCAAGGCGUUGCAAGAGUCAAGAGGGCAUAAAACAGAACAGCUCUUGGGACAGAAAUCCACAAUAAAACAUAAAACAGAAUGCAUAGAAGCGUAUGGACAAACCGGUCAAUGCUUUUCCGUGGCCUGUCAGGUUGAUCCAUGCUAGCCCGUGGUUUGUCAAGUUGAUCCACGCUUUUUCUGCUUUUAUCUCUCCGGUCUAUGCUGCCCCUAGGUUUCUCCCGUCGAUCCGUGCUUGGUCUAUGGUCAAUGCUUGACCUCGGUUUGUCCCUAAUAUCUGUGCUUCUCCUUGAGCUCUCCGUGCCUUCGGAUCCUGUUUCACUAGGAUCUGAGGGACCUGAACUCUCCAGAGAUUCAUCUUUCACUGGUGGUGAUUUCUCUAUCGCUGUGACAAACUUUUUCAGGUGUUUAAUGUAUUCUGGAUAUAGCUCCAAAUUACAAUGGUUUCCCCCUUUGACCCACAGAGGCUCAUACUUCACUUUAGAUAGCUCCCACAGUGUCCUCCCAUGAGAACAGUCAACAACCUCAUCAGCUGUACCCUGCACAUGAGAUACGUUUAGUGCCUUUAAGUGGUAAAAAGAAAAAAUUUAUGUAGCCAAUCGGCAGAACAUCUUGUAACACAGUAAUUGGACCAACUAUUCUUCCUAAAAUGAAAAAGAAAAAUUGCCUUCUAAAUGGCAUUAACAAUCACAUAAGCACAAGGACAUUCUAACAGUGAUGAAAUAUUAUGAAAUACUUAUGUCCUUCGUGUAUGACACCAAUAUCCAGCAUUUUAUAUGCAGGAACUUGUGACAUCUCAGUCAAGACUCCAGGCAAAAGGACCUUAUGGCCUGAACUCUGGAAACUAAAAACAGUAUUCAAGUACAGUGCUAGAAUAAUGUAUUCCUUAAGUCAACAGUGGGAGAAGGUACGGUGGUACAGAGAGAUUGUGUAAUAUGUAAACCAAUUAAUUGAUCCCAAAAAAGUAUAUCAUUGCCCUGUGUAGUAACUUUGCGUAUGCACAAAAUUGCAUUAGUUCUCUCCACUGAGAUGCACAAAAUGUGCAGAGUUUAAUAAAAAUGUCAGGACAUCAGUGGUAACAACUUGGAACUUGGAACAUGUUUUGAAAAUAACACAGUACGAAAAUGAUAAAUAAUCAUCAAAUGUAAAGCCUUGAACCCAAGUUCCCUAUCUGCAAGACAGAAUUUAAUGACAACAGAAACACACAUGCAUGUGCGCACAUGGAGUUGAACAUUAUUUUAAAAUAUGCUGUCAGACGGAUACUCACAUGGAUUACUAAGACGGGACAUUUGACCAGAGGAAUUUUGUCAAUGUUCUGUAAAUAAAUUAGUAGUGAUUAGAUCAGGUAUAUAAUCAAAUUAGAAGGACUAAAGUAAAGUAAUGACCUUAUAUAUGUCAAACCAGUAUGUAUGUUUCACAGGAUACAUCACUCUUAAACCAGAUGAUAUUGGGCUAUGUAGUACAACUGCUCGCAAAUGAGAUAAACGGGAUGCUAAAUCCAAAGUAGGGCCACUUCCAACUGAUUGGCCAUAUAAAAUGAUGUUUUCCUCAGAGGCUCCAUAAGUUUCUAUAAGACACCUAUAAACAGCUUCUAUAUCAGCAUAAGUAUUUUGCUCACUUGGCUGCAGAAUAAAAUGGAAUUAAACAGGUCAGACAUGCUAUAUUUGGGGAGCUGGAACUCAGACAACAGCAUGAAAGAAAAUGGGCAAAGGGAAAGUACUUUCCUAGAAAAAUGUGAAUUUAUACCUUCCCAGAUGACUGUCCGUACCCAGAAUAAUCGUAACUGCAGGAAAAUGUACAAUUCAGAAAUUACUAAUGUGGAGUGAAAUAGGCACACAAAGUUCAUGGCUGAUGAGGCAUCAAAAUGAGAAGCAAAUAUAUCAUGAGCACAAUAGGAAGUUCAAAACAAGCCAGAGAUAAUGCACAAUAAUAAAUUAUACUGAACUUUCAUUGUGUCAAGGCAACAGUCUGAUAGGUGGACAAGCUAAAAAGUCAAACUACAUAUCAAAUUGUAACCAGGUCUCUACCAUACUACUGCAGAAAAGGUAAACUAGGAUAAUAAAAGCACUAAUAUAGCAAAAAAAAGAUGUUGAUCCAGUAAGAAACCAAAUGAAAAAUAAGAAAACUUAAGUGGGAGGAGCUGACCAGAUACUUCAUACCACAAGAUUUCAAUCGGUUAGUUCGUUAAAAAAAAAGAUUUCAAAUUGGUUAUGAAGUGUUAGAUCAACUGUACAACUCAAUGGUUCCAGCCAACCAAAUCAACAGCUCAUCCCAACUCAUUAUUAAAUAUAGCCAGCAAACUAGAAAUCAUAAUCCCCUCAGCAAAACCUGAUAACUAAAAUGUCUCUAUAGAACAAAAGCUACAAUAAAGUUCCAUAAUUAAAUCCAAUAGCAAAACUUGGAUAUAGAGAAGCCAGUGGACAACUACUAUAGCCAAAGUGUAACCAAAUAGGAAGUACUACAAAGAUUUCAAACCUACAACUCGAACGUAUAAAACUUUUAAAUUGAGAAAAUGGACUUUAGCUGGGCAAUGUCGACAAAUUUCAACAGUGGCUAACUGCUGGAGUCAAGGGGAAAGAGGAGAGACACCGCUAACAAGAAAGCAUGCUCGUAGUACAUUUCAUUUGGACAAAGGAAUUUGUUACUAAGGGUUUUACCCAAUACGAUGGGUGACAGAGAAAGUUGAAGUUCAUGCUGUCAAUGACAGUGUGUCAGCAUGGGGACCAGCGAGGCAGAAUGCAGCUUAUGUUAGAUUAUUUUAGGCAAGCCAUGGGGAGGUAAUAGCUAGUAAAUUUUGUAGAGCGCGAACAAACAAGGAGUAAUAAGUAAGCAUUAAGCAUGAUUCUAUCCCUACAUAUGCAGCUUCCAGUAUCUCUGUUAAGUGAAUGGAUAGUCAAUCUCAAUCAGGCACAGCUAGAAUUCAUAUAUUAGUGAUGUUAUUCAAAUUCUAACCAAAGAUUACCUAGGCAACAUGGGUCCCACUACAACUACAACUAAUGUAGCAGUUCUGUAGUACCAACGGGAUUAUUUAACACUCAACAACAAGUCAAACAAGAUUCACAACCAAAAUCUCCAAUAUAGCCGGUCUUCCUUCCCAGGAUCCAAGAAGUUCCAAACAACUCUGGUACUGAUGACAAUGGAGCAGACGUGCCCCUCAAUCAAUAGUACAGCACAUCAACAUCCAAACUUUCCAGUCAGCUUAAGUAUGCACUAUCAAACAAUUACCAACUUCAAUGAAACCCACCCACUGUGCUCAGAACCGCUAACUUUCUGAACCACACAUACAGAUAAGCUGCACUAUUGCAGCCCAGGACAUUCCCACCAAUAUAACAAUUAAGACCACAUAAUGUCCCACCCUUUGCCCCAUGGCAUAACUUCCAAAACAAGUACAUAUACAGAAUCUAACAGUAACCUUCCACGGAUAUACAAUCCAACUGCGUGGGCGACCUUGAACACUUAUUCUCCCCAUCAAGUUAAAUUCAAUUCUAGAUUACAAUUUCUAUCAAAAUGACAUAACAGAUUUCUACUAGUGAAAAUAAGGCAUCUAAUUAAGUUACGAAGCAGCUACAGAGUCGAACAUUGCUCGAUCGAUUGCAAGAUCCCAAAUGUACCUGAAUAAUCAAAAGCAAGCAGGCAAGCUCUAAACUAGAACAUACAUGACUCCCAUUGCUGGCAGUAAUUACAGUCCUAACAAGAUGUAUUCCUUUUUUUUAUCAAAUCAAGAAGCCUGAUACUAACAUCAUAAUGAAAAUAAGCUGCUCACGCAACAGGCAGGAUCUCGUCGAAGAGUAUCCAGUCCUAUCAGCAAAGGCGCGGCGAGACAGAGCGGGCACGUACCCCAUGAGGUUGACGUUGAGGUGCGUGCUGAGCUCGAGGAAGAGCUCGUACAUCUGGCCCAGGUCGGCGGCGUUGCCGUGGGAGUAGAGCAGCGUGAGUCGCGCCCCGGGCUGGCGCACGUACAUGGCCACCACCUCCGUGCCGCGCUUGGUGGGCAGCUGGCGCGCCUCCACGCCGCGGCCCCGCGCCACGGGCACCCCACUGAGCUCCACCACCUCCGAGUCCGCCGCCGCGGCCGCCGGCGACGGCGGCGGCUCCACCCCGUACGACGGUGGGGCCGGCGGGAAGAACGCGAACCGCGCCGCCACCGUCGACGCCACCGCGCCCAUCGGGAGCGCUGGGAGGCUGGGAGCAAGUAGGGCUCCGGGUGGCGGGACUCGAGGUUGAGGAGGAGGAGAUGCGCGUGGCGUGGCGAGCUCGGUUUUUUAGUGGAGGCUUUCGCGGAAGCUGCCGCCGCGAUCGGAGGGGAAAGGGAGAAACGGAGCGGAGCAGCCGAGCAGCGGGCGGGGGGUGGUGGUUUGUUUGUUAAGACAAAACAACUGAGUUGGGACCCGUCGUCAAGAGGCUCCAUCCUACAUUGUGUGGUUGUGAUUGUUAAGUUGAUCCAACUCCUCUCGUGUUUGGUUAAAAAAUAUCGAAUUUACAGAAAUGUGGAUGUUAUUUUAACACCGUUAGCAUCAGUUUUUAAUGAAUCCCACCUAUCAUAUGUGAGGAAUAUAUGUUGUCCUCUAUUUUUUCACGAAUCUUAUCUUCUUCCUCUGUUCCCCAGGCUCCCUUCGCUAUGCCGCCGCUUGCUCUGCCAGAUGGCUCCUCCUCGUCGCGCCCUGCUCUGCUCUGCUAGCUCCUCCUCGCCUUGCCCUACUCUGCCCACCGGCUCCUCCCGCGCGCCGCCCUGCUCUACGCACCGGCUCCUCCCCGCACGCGCCGCCCGGCUCCUCCCCGUCGCGCCUGCCGGUGGACGAGCUCACUGGCCACCGCGCGCCCCUACCUUCCCCCCACACCUUGAGCCAUUGGCGGAGCUCUCCGGUGCCGGUCGCCGCGUGCCCCUCCCUCUCCCCAACCUCCGCCCCUCCCGCGCCCCUCCCUCUCCCCAGUGCCAGCCGCCACUCGUCCUGCCUCUCCCCUGCACUGGCCACCACGCCGGCGGCCGCGCGCCCUACCUCUCCCAUCGCGCCAGCGACCACGCGCCCCUACCUCUUCCCGCGCCAGCCGUGUGCGCAAUCCUGCUGCGGUAUUCAUGUGGAUUGGGAUGGUCCUACCCACGUAACUUUCCAUCCGAACAUGGGUCCAUCUGCCUGGCUGGAUUCGAAUUUCCAAACUGAAAGCCGCGCUAAAUUCGGGGCAAAUUUGGAUUCAUCCUCACGGAAACGGGGGAGAAAAGUUUUUGGCGCCACCUCAUUAAAGGACACGGAAAGCUAACAUGUGAAGCGGCUCGCCGCUCGCUUUAGCGCUGCCGGCGGCGGCAGGGACGCCGUUGCUUUCGGGAAAAGCGCGUCCUCCGCUUUUGCUGAUGGCUCGAGGUGACGGGCGGCGCCUGCCACUGGCAAGCGGGGCCAGGGUGCGCUGGGCCCCACCUGGAAGUUGAUUUUGGCAGACAGGUUAACUAACUUUGUACCCUUUCUUGACGCCUUUUUUUGUUUUCAGAGAGACGCCUGGUUAGCUUACGUUAAGCCACUUCUUUUCUUCCCUCACCUUUUUUUUUAUCGUCUCAUGUGAACUCCGAAACAGGAACAGCUUGUGUCUUUUGGAAAGAAUGUCAGGCUGGCAACGAGGUUUCGCUUGCUGCGCAUUUCGUUCAGAAAAGGAGUUUGAUUCGGAAGCUAGAUUUCAAUUCAUAUAUAAAUACGCAAUGUGAAGCAUAAGGCACGGGGUUGCAUAUUAAUACUACAUCUCAUCGGAAAUGCAAGAACUUGUCAACGGCAUAAGACGACGCUUCACAUGCUUUUGACGCAAAGGUAGGGCCAACACAUGAAAUUACUAAAGCAUGCGGGUCGCGAACAGACUGAAUAGCAAAGAUAUUGCACAGGCUGGUUAGACUGGUCUAGCAACCCGAUCAGACCGGUUUCCUAGAGUUUAGCCUAAAUUGAUCGUUCGAGAGGAUAACUACCACGCUUACGUGAUGGAAGACGGCUAGGUUUACGAGCAAACCAGCAAAGGGAUAACCAACACACUUCCGUUAUGAAGAACGACAAGUUUACGAGCAAGGUCGUCAAUGCUCUCGCCUGGGAGGGACCCCAUCAAGGCGUGGACGUCGCCGGCGUGCCCUAGGUCGACCAUCAAGCCUAGGACGCCAUCUCUGGUCGUGGAGAUCAGUAGAUGAACAGCAUGGAGAUUGGAAAAGGAGUUUAGGAGAUAAAAAGUAAAUGCACAGUAGAUUGAUUCGAUUGGGAUAUCCUCACUCGGUCGUGGCCCUUUAUAUUUAUAGGGUGGGGAGGUCUUGCCCCAGUAAGAGUCGAAGGUUAUACAAAUCCCGUGUCAAAAUACAACUCCUAACUCGGAUUAGGCUGGUCAAACCGGUCAGACCGCCCAUCCAAACCGGUCUAAUCGGUUAGCACAGGGCUGAAUCUUACCAGAGCCAUAACUCUCUCAUCCGGACUCCAAACUGGACGUUCUACAUGAUCGACUCGACAAGAUCUACACAAUGGUCAAGUCUAAUUAGAGAUUUGACAAUGUUAGUAGAACUAGUCUGAGCGGUUUGUAGAUCGGCUUGCCCAGAUUCAGACAACAAACUCCUAUGAUGCAAAUUUUGAUCUCGAACACAUGCCCCCUAUUUGUUGGUAAAGCUUGUGUACCACAAACAUUUAUUAGAACCAAAACUCCAUAGGAAUAAUGUAGAGCACAAGUGCAUCAACCAUGUUCCACUUUUAAGGAUAAUAGUGUCUAUCGUCCAUAUUACUUGAUCCUGCCCAAUAUAAAGAAUUCAGCUUAUUGCUGCUGUUUAUACAUCUUGUAUGAGUAAGUAAGACAAGCCUAAGUACAUACUGCCUCGACUGUAGAUUCUUGAUACUAAUUCAAAGUCAUUCUCACACUUGUAAUCUAUUGUGGAUAUAUAAAGCGACCAAAUUGCUAUGAUGUCAAUUGGUCAUUGCAAUACUUCUCAAAUGAGAAUGAAGAAAUAUAGAACAAUUCAAAAUUGCAUCCAUAGAUUAUUUGACCAUGAAUAAAGUAGGUGAGUAAUCAGCCCAAAAGGUGAAUAUGACACAAUUACCUUGGAAUUGAUGAUGGCCAGAUUACUCUUGAACCCCUCUUGUUUGUUUUCCCCUUCUCUUUUGAUACAUCUUGGAUUAUGCAAAUAUCCAACAACAAACUUUUUCUAACUACUAACCUCGGCUUCACCAGGUUCUAAAAUUUCAAUAGCCAAAGUAGUAGCCAUACCAGUCAAACCGGUCUCAAUGACAGUCAGACCGAUUUGUCCAGGAUGUGCCCUCCGAUAUUUGCUAAGCACCAACCUCUCUCAUGUAAAUGUCUUUUUGGACAUUGCAGCCUGAUACUCCUCACUCCAGAACGCUGAUCCUGAAUUUCGAUGCUUUGCUACAUCUUGCCCCCUGAGCAUUGAAACAACCAAUAAGGUCAUAAGUGAUCUCUGAUCGGGAAGUUAUCGCUUUAGGACAAUGAUCAAAGAGAUUCAUCAACCAUAUAUGUUGCCAAGGACAAUAAAAAAGCAGCAUCCAUAAUGAAUCCAUCCAUAAAAAUAUGUAUAGCUGAAGUAAAUUUUAGAGAAUGAUACAUAUGAAAGAACAAAAAAUCAUCUCUAUGAUCUACAUAUUUCGGCUUUUAAAAACUAACAGCAACAUCUAUUGCAAUUAAUCAAUAUGCAUAAUAAUUUGGUGAUAAAUCUCCAUGAUAUAAAGACCCAUGUGGCAUCCAAGGAUCAAAAUAAGAAUAUGAAGGAUAACCAAACAUAUCUAAGAAUGAAUUCAAAGACAUAGGCACAUAUGACAUUUGUAAAGCAAAUGGAUGAUGUAAUGACCAAUAAUUCUGAUGAUUUGGUACAAACCUCAUAUUUGAAGAUUGUCUCUCAGACUUUUUCUUCCCCUUCAACUGUGCUGCACCAUUUGCUUGGACAUCAUUCUUGUUUUGAAUUUGAAUACUUCCUUUAGGAACCCAUGCCAUGCCCUUCUUUCUCAGCUCUUGAGCACCAAACUUUUGUAGCUUCUUCUUCUACCAAUUUGAUAAACCAAGUGGAUGGCUUGGCUUUGCUUCAGUUUUGGACAGCAGCACUCUUUUUUUUUUGUUUUUUGGUGCUUUCAACUUAUUUUGUUCAGAUUUAGCACUUGGAGGAUCAAUGGCUGAUUUUUCCUUUCCUUUGCCAUUGGUAGCCAAAGUGCUUAACACAUUAAUUGGCUUUUUACUGACUGAAUUCAGAUCUAAACUCUUAUCUUUGCAACCAUCUUUUUUCAUUUGAUAAACUUGCUUGACAACCCUUUUCUUCUUUUGAACACUAGACCGAUCCUUUUGCUCAAAACGGUCAUUUUCAACAUAUGGCUGCGUGGCACAUGAUGGUUCUCUUGGUGCUGCAUACUCUACAUGAUAUGGUCUAAAAUAUGAAGGAGUAUGUGCCCAUGGAUCAUUUCCAUCCCAUGAUGAGUAAGAAUGAAAACUAGUGGGAUGUGGAGCAUAUGGAACUGGCAUUGGUGGCCCAAUAGGUGGAUAUGAUGCUGCUGAAUGAAACCUUUCUCCUUGCCAAUUCCAAUCCCUAGAAUUAUGUUUACGAGGUAAACUUGAUGGCUUAAUAUUAUUUGACCGAUUAGCACGCUUUGCCUCAUUAUCUUUUUGAUAUUUAGCCAGAAAUUCAUCGAAGUGAGCUUCAGCUUUUUACCAUUGUACUUAACAUGAUCUUUACCUCCAUUCACUACAGGACGCUUAGGUCUCAACAUUUCUGAACUUUUCAGACUUGAACUGGUCUGACCGGUUUGGGAGACCGGUGUGAUCUGUUGGUCCAAACUGGUCAGACCUGUUUGCCCAACCGGUCUGACCUGUUCACCCAACACAGCAGGAGUAACAGGUUCUUGAUUCGAUGGAGAAAAAUCCAUUUGCCCACAAGUAACUUCUAGAAUUUUGAUAAGCUCAUCAUCCUCGAUAAUUUCUUGAACUUGCAAGUCAUGGACGAUGUCCUUCUCAUCACCUGGGAGCUUCAAAUCUUCCUCUUUGGCAAUUAAGUUUGGAUCUUUAAAUGAACCGGCUGACUUUAACUGAUUUAAUGAUCCUUUGUCUUCAAGACCAAUUGUAGUCAACUAGUCAUCCUCUUGUAUUUGAGAAAAUCUAAAUCAUCCGGUAUUAAUGGCUGAUUGUAUGAAUUGGCGAAACAUAUUCCAAUUGCUAGUAUUAUGAUCAAAUGAAUUAUGCCACUUGUAGUACUUUUGAUCCUCUAAUUCAAGAGGUGAUGGAAUAACUUUGUGAUCAAAUAGCUUAAUAAAAUUAUUCUCUAGCAAGAUAUCAAAUAAAUCAUCACAAGAAGUCAAAUCAAAAAUAUAUUUUAUUUUUCUAACGCUGCUUUUGUGGAGAAGGCUUUAAGGUCAAGCAAGCAAAUGGUUCAGAUUUCUCACUGAUCCAUUCAUGUAUACCUUUCCUUGUGCUUCUCAUACCCCAUGCUUUAGAGCUUAUCACCAUAUUAGCAUCGGAUUUCAUAAUGACUUUCGAUUUUGAUCUUUUACUUUUAAAUCCAGAAUGACCGUAAGCAAACCAUGUAGAGAAAACUUUGGCAAUGAACAUGGAGAAAAUUUAAAUGCCAAAGUAUUACUAUUACCUGCCUUUCUAAUUUUCACAAUGCAUUGGUUGAGACAAUCUGAAGGCAUACUACGAUUAGCAAGUAAAUUACCAUCCUCAAUUGAUCGUUUGGAAUCAUUCACAAAAUUUUCACUAAUAGAUGAAUUAACUGAAGAUAUAUGAUCUGAUUGUGAAUUACUUGCAAAGCAUACCUUGUCAAAUAUAUUGGAGAGGCGAGAAACCUUGAUGUGGAUGAUAUCAUACUUCUCCUCUUGAUGGUAGCCCACAUUCAUAUUCUGAAGGGACCGAUCAGACCGGUUUAUAGGGCCGGUCAGACUGGUGCUUCCAGAGUUGCUAGAAAUCACCUUGUGUUGACAUGCCAAUGUUUCCUUCUUGCCUCCACUGUGAUGUUCUUAAAUAGUUCGAUGUUCUAAACUUUCAGCCAGAACUUAUCAUUUAAUGGUGCGAUAAUCACUAGAAAAACGCAUGACACCUUCGGCUUCAGGAAAAAUAAAUAGAGUUGUCUUCUUAUGUUUAACAUGUUCUUUUACAACUAAGCUUGACUCUUUUGGUGUAACAAACUCAGAAUAUACAUUAUUUGGUUCAGUUGUUGUAAUAACCGAACUAUUGCUCAAAUCUGAAUUAUUUUUACUUCCAUUACCACUCCCAAUGAUUGGUGGUGUAUCUUGCUUUCCCUUAGUGAUCGCCCUUUGAGAAAGAAAAAUUUGUCAGAAUUGUGCAAGAAUCAUCUCCAAUUCUUGGUGCAUCUCAUCUAGAAAAUUGGAUUCUUUGGUUUCAAAAACAGAACAUCCCGAUCCGACAAUUGUUGCAUGAUUUUAUACACGUGGAGAUAAAUACACGCUUACUAAAUUUUCAUUAAUUCGGCUGAAUUUUCAUUAAUUCGGCUAUAGUUAUGAAUAACACUUGGAGCCAAAUUAUGAUUAUUAGCAUUUGUAUAUGGUGCUAAAAUUGUAGGUUUAACCUCCACCCUAGUAGCAUGUUGUGCAGCAUACGAUGGUUGAGAAUAACAGGCCGAAUAGCUAGAAUUAGCAUGGCCAAUUUUCUCAUUUACCACCAUGUUUGCUGAAGUCUCACUAAUUUGGCUAUAACUAUUGCUAGAGUAAGGAGCCAAAUUGCGAGCAUUGACAUUAUAAUCCAUGGUAUUGUACACAAAACUUAUGUCACAAUCUUUCUCAUUAGCCUUUCUAAACCAGUGGUGGAAAAUCUGCUCUAACUGAGACCAUGUGCGACUAAAAUUUGGUGACAUAGUAGCACAAACAUAAGCACCACCAGACAAUGAUAAAGGAAAUAAUCUUAAUCUCAAGAUCUCAUUAGAGCUAGAUUCUCCACAUUGUAUGACAAAUUAUUUUAUAUGUUGUACAAAUUUUCCAUCCUUUCUACAGAAUUUAACAAAAUUAGGUAUUCUAAAACCAGGGCCACAAAACUGAAUUAUGCUCAAGGUAUGGAUUUUGAUAUUUUAUGCCCCUUAGUUCUACUUCAAACCGGUCCUAGCCAAUUGAUCAUGGGUUUGAGGCUGCAUACAAGGCUCAAAAUAAUUGGUCAAACUCACCAUAUUAGUUUGGCCUUGAUAAUUGCCCACCGGCUCUUGAACUUGUUAUACAGCCGAUGUGUGAGAGUAAUGAUGUAUGUUGCUAGUGGCAUUAAAAUUUAAAGCAUGCAUAUUAUUUGACAAUGGCUUUUGUGUAUAACAUUCAGAAUUAUAAUUUGCAUAAGUAACUCCAUCUGAACAAUUACUAGCCGAUGCAAUAUGCCUACUAGUAUCAUAUCUAGCAACAUCAACAUGAGGAUUCAUGGUACUUGCAAAAUAAUAAUGUAUUUGCAACUUGUACCUUGGGCUCGCUGUAGUGAUAUUGUUGUGGAACAUAAGAAUAGCCCACCAUGAUAGGUCUUGAUGCUUCUGAUCUUCUGGAACAAAUCCAGAUAUCCUUGAUAAUCCAAGCAAUCAAUAACCAACACUUUGCUUCUCUUUUAAUUUUUAAUAUGCAGGAGCAAGCAAAACACAAUGCAAUCAUCUUGAGUAGCAUGAUGCAAUAUCACAAUUAUAGAUGCAAUCGAUCCAAAAAGACCAGAUGCAACAAUAGUGGCGAAUUAAAAUAGUAAAUCAAUUAAGUAAAUAGCUAGGGUUUGAUAGAACGGUUUUUAGGAACCAGAUCUUCUUCCCUAGCGGAGUCGCCAAAAUGUGUUGGUGCAAAUUUAGUGCCAACACAAAAAAGCACUAAAGCGUGCGGGUCACGAAUAGACCGAAUAGCAAAGAUGCUGCAUAGGCCGGUCAGACCGGUCCAGCAACCUGGUCAGAUCGAUUUCCUAGGGUUUAGCCUAAAUUGAUCGUUCGGGAGGAUAACUACCACGCUUAUGUGAUGGAGGACGGCUAGAUUUACGAGCAAACUAGCAAAAAGAUAACCAACACACUUACAUGAUGAAGAAUGACUAGUUUACGAGCAAACUAGCAAAGGCCGUCGAUGCUCUCGCCCGGGAGGGACCCCGUCACGGCUUGGACAUCACCGGCGUGCCCUAGGUUGAAUAGCAAGCCUAGGACACCAUCUCUGGUCGUGGAGAUCAGUAGACAAACAGAAUGGAGGUUGGAAAAUGAGUUUAGAAGAUAAAAAGUAAAUGCAUAGUAAAUCGAUUCGAUUGGGAUAUCCUCAAUCGGCCGUGGCCCUUUAUAUUUAUAGGGUGAUGAGGUCUUGCCCCAGUAGGAGUCAAAGGUUAUACAAAUUCCAUGCCAAAAUACAACUCCUAACUUAGAUUAGGAUGGUCAAACCGGUCAGACUGCGCAUCCAAACCGAUCUAAAUGAUCAGCACAGGGCUGAAUCUUGCCAGAGCCAUUACUCUCUCAUCCGGACUCCAAAAUGGACAUUCUACAUAUGCAGUUUAAUCGUCUCAACGAGAUAUACGCAAUGGUGAAGUCCAAUCAGAGAUUUGAUAAUGUUAAUAGAACCGGUCUGACCGGUUUAUAGACCGGCUUGCCCAGAUUCAGAUAGCAAGUUCCUAUGAUGCUAAUUUUGGUCUCGAACACAUGCAAAACAACAGCUCAAGCUCAGCUAAGCAUCCUGUAGAUGUUGAUCUCAAAGAUAGUGCAAACGUGAAGCUUAAGCUGGAUGCCUGGAUGGUAAAUGAAAUUUGGUGUGCGAAAUGCGCGGUAAUACAUCUGAAUUCUGAAACACCCACCUGAAAAGUUCAAGUUCAACUGCAGCUGCUUCAACUGCCAAACGUUAGCAAGCAGUUUCAGACAGGAGACGAGCACCUGGGAAAUGGUUUCUUUCAAGCUUCGCAGAAAGUGCAUCGUCCAAUGCCGGUUGGAUCAAUCCUGCAGAGUGCAGAAACACAACGUAGAGGUAAAUUGUUGUUCAAGAAUAGGAUUAUUAGCAUUUGAUCAAUUCGUAGUGUCCCUAGGUGAAGAGCUUCUAAGCAAAUUCAUCAACUAGAUGAUUUAUGUAUGCAUGGUGCAUCAAUUUUUUUUGAACGAACGGCACAGAUUGUGCUAUUUCUAUUAAUAUAUAAGAGAUUUACAGGUUUAUUUAAAAAACAAGGGUAAAGGAAAACUCGGCGCCAGCAAAGCGCCCGCCUAUACUAUGUAUACCGUAUAAGGCUAUACCCCCACAAGUAAGUCUGCCAGGUGUUUCGCGCCGGCACUCUUCCAGGUACGAACUUCAUCCCUUAUCUGCGAUAGCAGAGCAUGGGCAGGACGCUCGGUUCUUUGGAACGUUCUAGCGUUUCUUUCGAGCCACAACAUGCCAUCGGACGAGCAGGAGGAGGGACCGCAGUCCUUUUCGGGGAACUCCCAGCAUGGCGCCCAUGUGUGUCCACCACUCGACAGUUGACGUGUGUGCCCACUGGUUUGGGUUGAUUUGAUUAUAGGAGAUCAAGGAGGCCACCAUGGACCAAAUCCGUCUAGAAUACCGACAGUCAACGAGGAUGUGGUGGGCUGUCUCAGGCCGACUCCUACAUAGAGGGCAGACUUGAUUUCUUGGCAAGUUUCGUGUAGCCAGUCGGUCUACCGUCCAUACUUUGUUGCGAAUUAUUAGCCAUGCAAACAAUUUACACUUGGGCAGCGCCCACGGUUUCCAGAUCAGUUGUCGGAGAUUGCAGGAUGUGGAUCCCAUAAAUUGAGCACGGUAAGCCGAUGCUGUUGAAUAAAGGCCCGAGGGUGACAGCUUCCAUGCUACCUGAUCAUAUGUGUCUUGUUGCAAAUGAACUUCUUGAGCAGGAGUCCAUAUCUCCAAAAAUUCCUGGAGGUGGCCCACCGUUAAGCACUCAAGCACAUUCAGGUCCUUCACCCAAUUGUGGUGUCGUAUGGCUUCUUUUAGCAUCCUAUUCUUUUUCCUGGAAGCAGCAAAAAUCUUAGGUGCAAUGUCCUUAGGGCGUCUUCCUUGUGCCCAAGCAGAGUGCUAGAAGGAUGUGCGGGCGCCGUCCCCCAGUUGAAUGGUCGUGCAAGCAACAAACAACAGCUUAUCCUUGUCUGAGCAUGUGAUGGGAAGCCCCACCCAAGCUUUGUUUGGGUCCGCUUUCUCCUGCCAUAGCCAACGCAGUCUAAGUGCUCUUGCGAAGAGGUGAAAAUCAAGAAUUCCUAAUCCGCCUAGUUCCAGUGGUUGGCCAACCGUUGGCCAAUUCACCUUACACUUUCCGCUAGUUAGAGCCUGAUCCCCAGCCUAGAAGAAGCGCUUACGGAUUUGGUCGAGCUCCUCAAUCACCUCUUUGGGAGCAUUGAGUACGGUGAGGAGGUAGAUCGGCUGCGAGCAUGGUGCAUCAAUUGGACAACAGGCGGUGCAUGUUCAUUUGAUACUUGAAGAAGGUAUUAUCAAGGAUCUCAAACCGAACCAUAGCAGAGCAAAAUUCAAGACGUGCUGAUAGUAAGCCAUAAACACGGAAGGAAGGCGUAUUUCUAGCGGAAAAUCAAAAUUCAGCUGUUAGCAAGAUCCCAUAGACCAGAUUCAUGCAAAACCGCUUGUUUGAUGUCAGCUUACACAUCAAUGCUUUAACCACCUUUAAACAAUACUUUAUUGAUGUCAGUUUUCACAAUCAACCUGUUUUAUUGCCACGGUGAUGGGAUGUGAAGUAUACCAUUUACACGUGAAACCUACGUUACUGAAUAAAACAUGCUGAUACGGGGGCACAAUCCCCCUUUGGGAACGAACACAAUAGACACAUACAUAUGAUUUAUUUGAGAUAGGUGAGGGUGGUUGAUGGUGCUAGGGUGGGGAUCCAAAAGGAGAUAUAUUAGUUCAAUAACGUCAUGGGUGAAGAUAUAUUACGUUAUGGCACUGGCACGGAAUGGCUGGCUAUGAGAGAAAUGGGGUCGAGAGGAAGAAAAAGCAUUCAUGUGUCAUAGCCAUGUUGCCCUCAUUCAAGAAUCAGAUUUCUUGUUGCACUAGCUCACGUACUUUUCUUUUCAAAAACACGGUAUAGAUAGAUGUUCAUAUACACAUACCCUACUCUUAUGACCGCAUACUAGACUAUUCAAUGCUAAAAAACACGGUAUAGAUAGAUGUUCAUAUACACAUACCCUACUCUUAUAACCGCAUACUAGACUAUUCAAUGCUAACAUUGGGUUUUCGUAGAUGUCUUGCCCACUGAAAGAAUAUAAUUAGCUGUAUACACUACGCCAGAAAUGAUUUGUACUAGCACCUUGAUUUUUGAGUGUUGGUGGGUAAAAUUACCACCCGCCAGCACAAAUGAUCAAGUGGCCAGCCCAUAACCCGUCAGUACAGAUGUAUUUGUGCUGACGGGUGACAUAACCACCCGCCAGCACAAAUAGCCUCAUUUGUGCUAACGGGUGGUUAUGUCACCCGUCAGCACAAAUGCAUUUUGCGCGUGGAGUUAGCUCCCUCGGUAUUUAUCUCUUCCUCCUCCUGUCUCUCUUCCGCAUCCUCACAUCUCUAUCUUAUCUCUUUCGUCUCUCACCUUAUCUCUUUCUCCUGUAGGGCAGCUGCACCUGGGGCUUGGGCGGGCGGCGCGGGAUGCCGGCACGGGCACCCGGCGGAGCAGCCUCAAGCGGCCAGCUCGGGUGGCCCGCGGGUGGCGCGGCAUGCCCCACGCACGCGUGGACCCAGCUCCCUUGGUAUUUAUCUCUUCCUCCUCCUGUCUCUCUUCUGCACCCUCACAUCUCUAUCUUAUCUCUUUCCUCUCUCACCUUAUCUCUUUCUCCUGCAGGGCAACUGCACCUGGGGCUUGGGCGGGCGGUGCGGGCGCCCGACGGAGUAGCCUCAGGCGGCGUGGGAUGCUUGGUGGGAGGCCGGCUCGGGUGGCGCGGGCGGCCUGUCGGUGCAGGUGGCCUGCGGCACAGUUGUGGAUGGUCGUCGCCGGCGGGGCAGCCUUGGGCGGUGGGUGCGGCCUAGUGCGGGCGAUUGUAGCAAGCAGCGUGGGCAGCCCAGGCGACACAAGCGGCGGUGCUGCCGGAGAGCUGCUACAACCAUUUUUUUUAAUUUUUUCUUAAAAUAUCAUUGCUAGCAGAUUUCUAAUUGCCCGUCAAUACUAAUCGUAUCUGUGCUGGCGGGUGUCCACCCGCUAGCAAAGAGACCAUUUCUGCUGGCAGUCAGACCCACCAGCACAAAUUGGUUUUGGCCGCCAAUGAAAAUGUUUUCCGGCAUAGUGAUAUACAAACAACUAAACUAAGUUUUUUUUAUGCCACAACCAAACUAUAGACCUGUUUGGGAGGAGUUCUAUCGGCUUUGUACAAAUUGAGAUAUCAUAGUGUGAAGCUAUUUUGCAAACUAAGAUGAAAAUAAACUAGAAACUAUAGGUAAGAAUAGGUUUUUUUGCUUCACCGACGAAACUGUUUUGAGAGAAAACAUCAAACAUGAGGUUGUUCCCGUCGUGCUCGCAAGCAAAUGCAUUGGUGGGCCCAAGCCUCCAACCUGUUCAAACUCAUCAGGUGCACAGUUGUACAAUCUUCCACACGCUCGACUUCUGCUUCAUCGCACACAGCGGCCUGACACACGAGUACACGACUCCUCUCUACCUUGCCCCGUUGCCGACCGGGACGCAUGCUCCCUGGUCGCUGGCCGGUCUGCUCAGCUGUCCAUAGCUGCACCGCUUGUCACCGUCGCGGUAUCUGCAGCGGCGGCGUCCCCUGCCAGUGGAUCCCAUGGGAAAUGGGUGGGCUCAUCAAUGUUUUAUUGACAUAGUAUCAGGACGACGCGCUCCACUGGUAUAGGGCUGUGGACUGUGUUGAGCACAAUACAGGUCGGCACCAUUCCUUAUGACAUGAAAAAGUGGGCCUAGCUCAAUCUUUUUAAUGAUACCGGAAUAAACUUAGUCCAAUUAAUUAGGAUGGGAAGUAUGGUCAUGCAUCCUAACCAUCACGUUUGAGUUCUCUGUAGCGUGAAUUUAGGUACCUAUUAUUUUUCUUUCUUAAUUAAUGAAAAACUACCUAUUUUCUUCAAGGUUGGCUCAUUUUAUGAAAGAAGCUUGGCAUAUGAUCGAUGAACCUUGGUAUCUCGAAAACAAACACCCAGCGCUAAAACACAGUCAUACCGACAAGGGUGGGCAAAGUGGGCGAGGGCGAGCAUUUGUUUGUGCAAGCGACUUACUCCUAUCAGCGAGCCCGUAUAAUCUUUUCACCAACUAAACUGCUGUAGACUGUGGAGUUAUAAGAAUUAUGGACCACAAAUAAUUCACGGCUUCCUUGCAAAUCACAAAGUUAACCAAAGCUGAAAAUCACAUCUGGGUCCAUCAGGGUCCAUCAGCGAAUCAUUCUCUGUUGACUCCUGUCUCAGCGUCUCAAGUUGCGGCUCUAAUCAAGCCCCAUUUGCAACUAAUCUAUCAUAUAUUCAUAGUCAUUGGUUUGAUUGGACUCAUGGACUGUCGUUAUGUGCCGGGUUUUCUCCAAACCAAACUCAUCAAUCAGCAAUAAAACUAACAGCACUGCUAGCAUCCGGACGGGAAUUUUCCUAUCAGACAUUCCGUUGCAACAUGAAAAUAAAACAUCUGCAACAUCGAAAAUCUAUAAUUGCAAUAUUGAAAAAUUCUCUCCGCAAUAUAAACACUAUGUUUCAUGCAACAUUCACUGUGAAACACAUACGGAAAUAAGAGUUGCAAUAUCAAUGAUUCACUGUCCGAUUUUUUUAGAUUUCGGACCGUCAGAGUCUUAGGAUUACCGUAAAACUAAUAGGCAGCACAUCAAUCCUACUCGUGCACUAGGCCUCUAGGGGUACUCGUCUGGUACUGAGACGAGUUGCUAGUCUCUUUCUUCUUCAUCUUUUCUUUAGGAUAAAAGCAGGUUGACAGUGACGGAAAGAUAAGCCUAUCGAAAUCAGAGAUCCCAACGAUUCUACCAGUGCACCCAUUGGCCGGCUUGGAUGCUAAGAAUCGCAACAGAAGAAGAUUUUAUUUGCAGAAGGGGGAAGGAACUGUGCAAGAAAAAUAACAAUUUUUGUAUGUUUCAGUAGUGGUCCUCAAUGGCGGCAAUGCAAUUUCAGCAACAUCACCGGCAGCUAAGGAAUUUUGCAACUUCCUCUAUAAAUGAAAAGAUGGCAACGUGGGAACGGUAAUCAUUUUAUUCUUAAUCAAGACAUCCACGUUGACAAAUUUCAACUAAACUGGCACAACUGUACAUUAUUGUGGAGAAAGCUUUUCCCGAACCAUACUCUCUUCUCUGCUAAUACAAGCACAUAACGUAUACAUACAUUGCAAGUGGCUCAAUUCGACACUGAGCCGGUUUGUGUACAGAAGACCAUCCAACUUCAAGCACCCCAUUCUUUCAAGUGAUCGGAUUCUCAACUGCGGACAAAGAGACCGUAUUCGUUCAUGCAUCCAAGUGCAUCAUCAUCUUCCUUCAUAAAAUCUGAAUUUUGCAAUUUGAAGCCAUGUUUCUUGCAUCGACGACAGUUCUCCUUUUAAGUCUGCAGUUUAGGCUACCUCUUUUUUACGGAAGAUGUUCAUCGCAUCACUGUAUAAGGCAACGGAAUUUGAGAGAACAGCAAGCACGAUCAUGGUCACAGCAAGGAUCUUGUCACGCUUGGUAGCAAUUCCAUAAGAAUCCCUGCAAAAAUUAAGCCAUGUUAUUAUGUGUCAUGUAAAAUGCAUCAGCUAGUAGGCAAUAUACACAAGAGUACACAUAUAUUUACCUGAGUAUAACCAUGGCAGGAAAGAUGAAACCGAUAAGGACGGCGGCUGUGGCACCAGUAAACUGGAAUGCGUCCCAGAUACUUGGUAUAAGAAUGGCAGCAAGGUAAAUUACUGUGAGGAGAGUGAUGGUGAUGAUGGCAAAUCUCUUGUUGUCAUGAGAAAUGUGCCUCGACGUGGGGAAGAGCAAUCCAUCUAAGUUAAGCCGAAGGGCAAAGAAGACAAUGGGAAAGACAAGCAUGACAUGUGCAGCAUAGCUCACUCGAACAAUAUCAUCAAAGACUGAGCUGAACGGAAUGCCAAGAUUUGCAUCAAAGUUGGCAAGCACGUCAUCCAGUGUGCCCUCACCAAACAGGAGAUAUGCAAAAAAGCUUGUGGCAAUGUAAACACUGGAGCACAGGACCAGCGAUGUUCGCACGAUCGGUUUGAUCUGUGUUCUGUCUUCAAGUUCAUUGUCAAUGCUGUGAACUUUAGAAUCAUGAAUAGGAUGAAUUAGAAUCUGAAUUUUUGAAGAAUCAGAAAGGUAUCUGUUCGAUGGUAGUGCUUACCGUUGUAGUGGCAGAUGUAGGCAGUAACAAGAACAGGGACAGCUGUAAAAAGAUUCCAGAUAGAAUUUAGACCAUCUAAUUCUGGAAAAAGUUUGGGCAUUGCUACAGUUCCAUUGAAAAGCUUGAUGAUGGCAAUUCCAGCAGUAAUUACAACAAAAACCACUGCCAGGGCAACUGAUAGCGCAGAUGUGUAUCUCAAUGAAUCUGUGGGAAAUAACAAGAUUUAUUUUUAUUAACAUGCAGUUAAAAAUAGGGAAUAUGAUGAAGGGUAUUUUUCACAACAUGCAAACAUGUACACAUACCCAAACGCUUAAAGCUCACCAGUGGAGCAAACACCAAAAGAGCUGUAGCAAGAAGAACAAUAGGACGCGAAUUCCACAUAUGAGCUCCAAACCAGCCCUCCAAUAUGCCACGAUGAUGAACACCGGCUGAUGUUGUUCCAGACAAUACAUCACCUAUCAAAAGUUUAAGAACCAGUGUCAGUUGCGGUUCAUUGCAUAUAAAGUUCAUUUUAAGGAACAACGUGUUAUUCAACAGGAAAAUUUCCUUCUCUGUUUUUUCAGCAGGAGAGAAACUAUUGUCAGCAAGGCGGUAACUAAGUUUCUUGAAUUAACCAGAAAGCGAUAUACUAAGGAAACACAUAUCAAAAGCUGGGUCACAUGAAUUUGAAAAUACAUUCUAUCUGAAAGUUUUAAGUAAAAAUUGGAAUUAUAUGGGCUCCAAAGGCAUGCCCAAAAAGUGCUGUGUCAUCAUCUCAUUUAAAAAGGACUACUAAGUGUACCUGGAGAACUACAUUUCUCAUACCUAGUCAUUUCAUCUGUACGUCUCAAAAUGUUCAAAAGUAAUAUUAGAAGUAGAGGGCCGAAUGCUGGGUUUAAGAGUACCUAUGAUAAUCAUGUAAACAAUUAGCACGCCAACAUUGUUUAUGAUGAUGGAGGCCUGCAGUGCGAUUCUCCCCCACUGUCCAAAAACCUCACCCAUCAGCCACCCAUAUGAUGUAAUCUUGCCCUGGUGGCUGCACCUGACAAGCAUGUCAAUGGAUGCCUCUGUGAGCAGUGCCACAAUGAUGAUCAUCAGAAUUCCCGGGAUAAUGCCCAGCAUCUUGAUACUUGCUGGCAGGGCCAUAAUUCCAGCCCCAACUAUGGUGGUCGACAGAUUGAAAACUGCCCCUGAGAAUGAAGCACCAUUGAACUCAUGAAACCCAUCAUCCUCCUCCACCUUGACUGGAAGAAGUGGUGUGGUCUCAUCUCUUAUUUCCUUACGCGCUGAUUGCUGGUUCCCGUUUGAUGAUCCAUCUCCGAUCGCCAUAUUUCUUUAUCUCUGUGACUCUCCUGGAUGGGAAAUAUUUCCAGUCAGCAAUUCAGUGCAAUAGAUUACUGAUUUAAAUGACCAAUUAUAUACAUGUCUUUUUGCUCAUAUGUUUCCUAUAAUGAAAUCUAUCUUGUUCUUUUUCAAAAAAAAAAUUUAUCUUGUUUUGAGUGGGACACUCAGUUUCAUUUCCAUUUCUUACGUUAUUUAGCCAUACUAAUUACCUUAAGUAGAUGUGCAGUUUUGUUAAAUCAAUACAGAUCCAUUGAGAAAAAAAAAAACUGAUAGCAAGUUUCAGUUCAUAGUCAGAGUAAGCAGACAAAAUAAGCUUUCCUAAAACAAAAGUAGUAGGCCAGUUAAACCAUGCCCCAAAUUCCAAUCUUUCCAACACAAUUCACAUAAUCACAUCAACAAAAAACUCGAGACAACCCACCAUGGCAACUAGCAAAUACACCGUCAUUAUUGGCCUAAAAUUGCCGGACUCGAACGGAACCUACAAACUACUAGUGAAAUAAGAACAACCUUCAUCCUCUACCGAAUUCACCUCAGAUGAACCCAGUACAAUCACAAAGAACAGAAGGAAAUGGACUCUCCCAUAAUCCAACCCAAGCAAGAAGAACCAUCGGCUCCUCACCACGAACUCAACGCACAGAGGAUGGAAUCAUGGAAAGAGAUAGGGAAAGGCCAAAC